rnacentral:rRNA from 1 species
ACUCGAGUGGCGAACGGGUGAGUAACACGUGGGUGAUCUGCCCUGCACUUCGGGAUAAGCUGGGAAACUGGGUCUAAUACCGGAUAGGAGCCAUCUUUAGUGUGGUGGUUGGAAAGUUUUUCGGUGUAGGAUGAGCUCGCGGCCUAUCAGCUUGUUGGUGGGGUAAUGGCCUACCAAGGCGGCGACGGGUAGCCGGCCUGAGAGGGUGUACGGCCACAUUGGGACUGAGAUACGGCCCAG